GCGCACCAGUCGAGAAUUUUUCACAAUGGGGGCAACCCUGAUGGAGCGACGCCGCGUGGAGGAUGAAGGCUUUCGGGUUGUAAACUCCUGUCAUUUGAGAACAAGUGUAGCCAACUAACUAUUGGCUACUUGAUAGUAUCAGAAGAGGAAGGGACGGCUAACUCUGUGCCAGCAGCCGCGGUAAUACAGAGGUCCCAAGCGUUGUUCGGAUUCAUUGGGCGUAAAAGGGUGCGUAGGUGGCGCCGUAAGUGGGGUGUGAAAUUUCGGAGCUUAACUCCGAAACUGCAUUCCAUACUGCGGUGCUUGAGGACUGGAGAGGAGACUGGAAUUCAUGGUGUAGCAGUGAAAUGCGUAGAGAUCAUGAGGAAGACCAGUGGCGAAGGCGGGUCUCUGGACAGUUCCUGACACUGAGGCACGAAGGCUAGGGGAGCGAACGGGAUUAGAUACCCCCGUAGU
rnacentral:rRNA from 1 species